rnacentral:misc_RNA from 1 species
GCCUUAUCCAAACCCCUAUUUUCCGGCCUCCGGCGAGCUUCAAGAGCGGCGGAACUGCUGUCUUGUCUUCCAUUUCAUUUACACAGGCGAUUGCAAAGGGUUAGGCGGAGGUGCCGAAGCAAGAUGUGGCGCUGUGUUUCUCGUGGCCUUCGCGCUUCUUCUUCCUUUUCCAGGAAAUCAUCCCCCAAUGAUCACCUCAGAUCUCAAUUUUCUAGAUUCUUCUCCGCCGAUUCGACGGCAAGUCGCUCCUCAUACACUGUGGUUGAUCACACCUACGAUGCGGUUGUGGUAGGCGCGGGUGGUGCAGGGCUUCGAGCUGCUAUAGGAUUGUCAGAGCAUGGAUUUAAUACUGCUUGCAUUACUAAGCUUUUCCCAACUCGUUCUCACACGGUUGCAGCUCAGGGAGGUAUAAAUGCUGCACUGGGAAACAUGACUGAGGAUGAUUGGAGGUGGCACAUGUA